rnacentral:rRNA from 1 species
UACGUAGGGGGCAAGCGUUGUCCGGAUUUAUUGGACGUAAAGAGCGUGUAGGCGGCUAGAUAGGUCCGUUGUGAAAACUCGAGGCUCAACCUCGAGACGUCGAUGGAAACCAUCUGGCUAGAGUCCGGAAGAGGAGAGUGGAAUUCCUGGUGUAGCGGUGAAAUGCGCAGAUAUCAGGAAGAACACCCGUGGCGAAGGCGGCUCUCUGGUACGUGACUGACGCUGAGACGCGAAAGCGUGGGGAGCAAACAGG